rnacentral:rRNA from 1 species
GAUAAGGGCGUGAGUCGCGUGUUCUAGACCCGAAGCGGUGUGAUCUAUCCAUGGCCAGGAUGAAGCGUCGGUAAGACGUCGUGGAGGUCCGAACCCACUUCAGUUGAAAAUGGAGGGGAUGAGUUGUGGAUAGGGGUGAAAGGCCAAUCAAACACCGUGAUAGCUGGUUCUCCCCGAAAUGCAUUUAGGUGCAGCGUUGCGUGGUUCUUGUUGGAGGUAGAGCACUGGAUGGUCUAGGGGGCUUAUCGGCUUACCGAAAUCAGCCAAACUCCGAAUGCUGGCAAGUGUAGCGUGGCAGUGAGACGGCGGGGGAUAAGCUUCGUCGUCGAGAGGGAAACAGCCCAGAUCAUCAGCUAAGGCCCCUAAGUGGUGACUCAGUGGGAAAGGAUGUGGAGUUGCGUAGACAACCAGGAGGUUGGCUUGGAAGCAGCCAUCCUUGAAAGAGUGCGUAAUAGCUCACUGGUCAAGUGAUUCCGCGCCGAUAAUGUAGCGGGGCUUAAGUUAUCCGCCGAAGCUGUGGCAACCUGUGUGGUUGGGUAGGGGAGCGUCGUGUCAGUGGUGAAGCUGCCGGGUGACUGUGUGGUGGAGUUGAUGCGAGUGAGAAUGCAGGCAUGAGUAGCGUGUGACGGGUGGGAAUCCCGUCCGCCGAUUAUCCAAGGGUUCCAGGGUCAAGUUUGUCUGCCCUGGGUGAGUCGGGUCCUAAGGCGAGGCCGACAGGCGUAGUCGAUGGGUAACCAGUUGAUAUUCUGGUACCGGCUUGUCACCGUCCGUGUCGAGGUGUGUGAUGCUAAGCAUGUGAGCUUGUCUUGGGAGUGUUUUUGAUGCUUCUGGGGUGGGUGAGUGUGUGAACCGAUCAUGUAGUAGGCAAGCUGCGGAGGGACGCAGUGAGGUAGCUCAUCCCCGGUGAUGGUUGUCCGGGGCUAAGUGUGUGGACUGUCUGGUAGGUAAAUCCGCUGGGCGUGAAGGUUGAGGCAUGAUGGGGAGCCCAUGGUUGUGGGUGAGUGAGUGAUCCUGUACUGUCGAGAAAAGCUUCGUGAGCGAGGUGGCGGGUCCGCCCGUACCCUAAACCGACACUGGUGGAUAGGUAGAGUAUACCGAGGCGAUCGAGUGAAUCGUGGUGAAGGAACUCGGCAAAAUGCCCCCGUAACUUUGGGAUAAGGGGGACCUGAGCUGUCGUGCACCCGUGCGGUGUGGUGGCGGUGAGGGGCGCAGAGUCCAGGGGGAAACGACUGUUUACCAAAAACACAGGUCCGUGCGAAGUCGUAAGACGAUGUAUACGGACUGACUCCUGCCCGGUGCUGGAAGGUUAAGGGGAACUGUGAGUGUAUGCGUAGCGGUGAACUUAAGCCCCAGUAAACGGCGGUGGUAACUAUAACCAUCCUAAGGUAGCGAAAUUCCUUGUCGGGUAAGUUCCGACCUGCACGAAUGGAGUAACGACUUCCCUACUGUCUCCACCAUGAACUCGGUGAAAUUGCAUUACGAGUAAAGAUGCUCGUUACGCGCAGCA